rnacentral:rRNA from 1 species
UGGGGAAUAUUGCGCAAUGGGGGAAACCCUGACGCAGCGACGCCGCGUGUGGGAUGAAGGUCUUCGGAUUGUAAACCACUGUCGCGAGGGACGAAGCUCUGACGGUACCUCGAAAGGAAGCACCGGCUAACUCUGUGCCAGCAGCCGCGGUAAUACAGAGGGUGCGAGCGUUGUCCGGAAUCACUGGGCGUAAAGGGCGCGUAGGCGGCCCGGUAAGUAGGGGGUGAAAUCUCAUGGCUCAACUGUGAGGCUGCCUUCUAGACUGCCAGGCUUGAGCACAGUAGAGGCGAGUGGAAUUCCCGGUGUAGCGGUGGAAUGCGUAGAGAUCGGGAAGAACAUCGGUGGCGAAGGCGGCUCGCUGGGCUGUUGCUGACGCUGAGGCGCGAAAGCGUGGGGAGCAAACAGGAUUAGAUACCCGCGUAGUCCCUGAGCGGGCUGGCAAGGCGCAU